rnacentral:lncRNA from 1 species
UGGGAUAAGAGAGGGGUAGUACCAUUAGAUUUCAAAUCAGCAGCGAUCAGUUUCAUACAGUAGUUACAUAUUCCAUGAUGAACACCUUUGACAUAUUGAGGCUGAAAAUGAUCCCAAGCGGGUGACCUUUUCUUGUACUCGUCUCUUUUCUUUUUAACACCAAGGUCAAAUUCUUCACAGCUGUUGAAAAUAGGAGUUGGACGUGAAGGUGGCGUUGAAUCACUUGAACCUUCCUCUCCUCAAAAGUGUUAGACAUGUUUACUUGUAUGCAAAAGAAAAUAAAAA